rnacentral:rRNA from 1 species
AUUGAACGCUGGCGGCAGGCCUAACACAUGCAAGUCGAACGGUAACAGGAAGCAGCUUGCUGCUUCGCUGACGAGUGGCGGACGGGUGAGUAAUGUCUGGGAAGCUGCCUGAUGGAGGGGGAUAACUACUGGAAACGGUAGCUAAUACCGCAUAAUGUCGCAAGACCAAAGAGGGGGACCUUCGGGCCUCUUGCCAUCGGAUGUGCCCAGAUGGGAUUAGCUUGUUGGUGGGGUAACGGCUCACCAAGGCGACGAUCCCUAGCUGGUCUGAGAGGAUGACCAGCCACACUGGGACUGAGACACGGUCCAGACUCCUACGGGAGGCAGCAGUGGGGAAUAUUGCACAAUGGGCGCAAGCCUGAUGCAGCCAUGCCGCGUGUAUGAAGAAGGCCUUCGGGUUGUAAAGUACUUUCAGCGGGGAGGAAGGGAGUAAAGUUGAUACCUUUGCUCAUUGACGUUACCCGCAGAAGAAGCACCGGCUAACUCCGUG